rnacentral:rRNA from 1 species
UACGUAGGAGGCAAGCGUUGUCCGGAAUUACUGGGCGUAAAGCGCGUGUAGGUGGUGGGACAAGUCUGCUGUGAAAGCGCCUGGCUUAACCGGGCGAGGUCGGCGGAAACUGUUCGACUCGAGGACGGUAGAGGGGGGUGGAAUUCCCGGGUGUAGUGGUGAAAUGCGUAGAGAUCGGGAGGAACACCUGUGGCGAAGGCGGCCCCCUGGGCCGGCCCUGACACUGAGACGCGAAGGCGUGGGGAGCGAACGGG